rnacentral:lncRNA from 1 species
AGGGGUCUACCACCGUCAGAGGCAACAACUCAUCGGGGGCCGCCACCAUGGGAGGUGGCCGACCUCAAAACACCCCCUUCUCCUAUUUCAACGAAGAAGAAAAGAGAAAAUGCGAGAAAAAAAGAAGAAAAAAAGAAAAAGAAAAGAAAAAUAAAAGAGAGUUUCACUCUUCUCUCCUUCCCUCACUUCUCUCUUUGCCUUCUCUCUCUAUAAGUCUCUCUCUACUUUCUCUCCCUAAAAUUUUCUCUUUCUGGGUUGUUUCUCUCUCUUCAUGGAUUUUUCUCUCUAAAAAUCUGAUGGACUAGUAGAGGGUCCAGAUGUCUAGGUGCACUUAGAUUGACCAGUUUAAACUUUGCGAGAAGUCUUGGGUCUAUAGUAUUAGGAUCGUUUAUCUUGAUUUUCUAUUAUCCAUAAUCAUCUAUGAAUGUUUACGUUUGGUCUUGAUUAUGUAGAGGUGAAAUUAUCUUUAGAAGGUGUCGAGCGGAACACCUUAAUCUCGAGUUCGUAAAUCAAAGGGCCGAUCAAUAGCUAUACUUGAGUUUGAGACCGGUAGAGGUAAGGAUCUCUUUACAUGAUCACCUAUCUAUAUGAUUUUUUCUAUAUUAUGCAUGAUGAUAUUUCUGAUUUCAUGUCAAAUACAUGAUUCUUUAUUAUAUUUGUAUCAUAUAUUGACAUUUUGAUUGUUGAAAACAUGAGAUUUGAUGUUUGAAAAUUGAACAAGAAGUGUAAUACAAAUUAUUGAAUGAAUUGUUGAAUGUGUAAGAGGAUUUGGAUUAGCCAUGAUGUGGAUUGUUGGUCACAGGCCGAAUUGUGACAUCCUGGAUUGCCAAUCAUGGGUCGAAUCAUGACACUCUAGUUUGCCAUUGCAAGCUGAAGCAUGGAUAUCUUGGUUUGCCAUCCGGAUCGAAGUGUGGAUAUCUGAUUUGUCACUGCGGACUGAGCACAGUUAUUAUGGUUUGCCACUACAUGCCGAAGUACAAUUAUUAUGGAUUGCCACCGUGGACCGAAGCACGGCUAUUAUGGAUGGUCACUACACAUCGAAGUGUGGUUUAUUGUUUGUCAAUCAUGAGUCGAAGCAUGAUCAUGAUUAGUCCAAAUGGAAAGAUGAUGAUUGAUUUGAAAAAUGUUAAUGAAACAUAAACGAUAAGACGUAUAAACAUACAUUUGAUGUUUAUGAUGGAUUGCUGAUAAUAUAUGAUUCGUGAUAUAUAUAUAUAUAUACAUAUAUGCAUACAUAUAUGCAUACAUAUAUAUUUGAUAUGAAUUUUGUGACUUAUGAUUUCUCUUUGAUAGUUGCUCAUUCAUUAUUUUGAAUUGUCUUAUUAUAUUGGUGUAUGUGUAAUGGGAUUCUUACUAGAUUAUAAAGCUCACAACUCUCUAUUUCUCUUUUAUUUUUGGAGUUACAGAAUGCUUAUAUUUAGCUAAGAUGGGGAUCUUGAUUCAAAAGAAAUGAUUAGAUAGUGGCAUCAAUAGUAGUUGGAUGACCAAGUUUUGUAAGUUGUAUAAGAUUGAUAUUUAUUAAUAUGAAAUUAUUUGUUAUGAAUUGUGAUUGAUAGUAUUUAUGAGAUGUUGAGAAUGUAAAGAAUUUUGCAGGUCUUGCAUAUUCUUUAAGGCUUGUCUUAGGGAGUGUGCGGUCAUUACGUAUCCGAUCCGAGUGCUGGGUUCAGAGCGUGACAUAAUGGUAUUAGAGCUUAAGGUUAUGAUCUCUAGGGAUUGUCAGUUAAUGAGUAUUUGAGCAUAAGGUUAUGAUCACUAAGGAUGUGACAGAAUGGUAUCAGAGCUUAAGGUUAUGAUCUCUAGGGAUGGUGAGUUAAGAAGUAUUUGAGCAUAAGGUUAUGAUCACUAAGAAUGUGACAGAAUAGUAUUAGAGCUUAAGUUAUGAUCAUUUGGGACUGUGACAUAAGUGACUAUGGCAUGACAUAAGUGAUAAUGAAACUUAGGGUUUUGAUCACUAGGGUUUGUGGUAGAAGUGAUUCAUAGGGUUUGGAUUUGGAUGGAUAAUUUGUAUCUCGGAUGUAAUUCGAGGAAUUAAUAAUUUAUGAUUUUAUUGAUUUAAAAAUUAGCAAAUUCAAAAAAUUUGAUGGAUUUAGAUUAGAGUGCACAACGAAAGCGUAGUGGUUUAAGUCAUUUAAAUUUGAUCGAAAAGAUUGGUUUUAAUUCAAAGGAUGUCAUGAUAGAGGAUUGGAAUUUUUUUUUGAGUGAAGAAAGCUAUCUAGGAGCUCGAGGAUAAGAUAAGAAUUUUGUAUCCUUAAGAGUUUGAUUUUGCAGUAUGCUAAUUUCGAAGAUGAAAUUAUUUUAAGGGGGGAAUGUAAGGAUCUAAAUUCUUUAUAACCCCUCUCACAAAUCUUAAAGCAAAAUAAGAAGCCAAAAAAAAGCUUUUGAACCUCAUGUGCCUCGCAUAUGGGGCGAAAGAGGACUCCUGAUGGGGGUUGGCCUCUUUCCAAGCUUGGCAAGGAUUGGGAGAUCUAGGGCUCAUCGGAGCUCUAGAUUUUGAUUAUAAAUAGGCCGACCCUCUUCCUUUAGCUCAAUGACCCAAUCACCUCGAUCGAUUGCUGGCCAAAUUCAUGGGAUUUUUUGGAUUUUCGUUGAAUAAUUUUGAGAGCCAUCGACGAGUUUUCGUAGGAAAAGAGGACCAAAUACCUUGUCGGAGACAAGGUAUGGUCUCUAAACCUCUUUUCUUUCUUCCUAGCUUUUUUGAUGCCCUCAAUGGCCAUGUUCGCCGAAUUUUCUUUGAAACCAAACAUCCCCUGUUUUCAUUUUUUGUUUCUUUUCCUCCUACCAGAUCUAUUGCCAUCAGCGGAUGGCCUUGGUCAUCGAGGAUCCGAGGCCGUCGGGGGUCUACGAUCGUCAAAGGUCACCGCUCAUCGAGGGCUAUCACUACGGGAGGUGGCCGACCUCAAAACACCCCCUUCCCCUGUUCAACGAAGAAAAGAGAAAAUGGGAGAAAGAAAAGAAGAAAAAAAGAAAAAAGAAAAGAAAGAAAAGAAAAAGAAAAAAAGAAAAGAAAAGGGAGAGUUUCUCUUCUCUAUCUCUUCCCUCACUUCUCUCUUUACCUUCUCUUUCUUGUUUCUCUCUCUAUGAGUCUCUCUUUACUUUCUCUUCCUAAAAUUUUCUCUUUACAUUGUUUCUGUUUUCAUGGAUUUUUCUCUCUCUAAAAAUCUGAUGGACUAGUAGAGGGUCCAGAUGUCUAGAUACGCUUAAAUUGACUAGUUAAAUCCUGUGAGAAGUCUUGGACUUAUAGUAUUAGGAUCGUUUACCUUGAUUUCCUACUAUCCAUAAUUAGCUAUGAAUUUUUAUGUUUGGUCUUGAUUAUGUAGAGGUGCAAUUUUCUUGAGGUGUCGAGUGGAACAUCUUAAUCUCAAGUUCGUAAAUCGAAGGGUUGAUCAAUAGCUGUACUUGAGUCUGAGAUCGGUAGAGGUAAGGGUCCCUUUACAUGAUCAUCUAUAUAUAUGAUUUUUUUGUAUUAUACAUGAUGAUAUUUCUGAUUUCACAUCGAAUAUAUGAUUCUUUAUUAUAUUUGUAUCAUAUGUUAACUAUGUUGAUUGUUAGAAACAUGAAAUCUGAUGUUUGGACAUUGACCAAGAAGUGUAAUACAAAUUAUUGAAUGAAACUGUUGAAUGUGUAAGAGGAUUUGGACUAGCCAUGAUGUGGAUUGCCGGUUACGGGCCAAAUUGUGAUACUCUGAAUUGCCAGUCAUAGGCUGAAUCAUGACACCCUAGUUUGCCACCAUGGGUUGAAGUGCGGAUAUCUUGGUUUGCCACCACGGACCAAAGCACGGAUAUUCUGAUUUGUCACUACAGGCCGAAGCAUCAUUAUUAUGGUUUGCUACCGCAGGUCGAAAUGUUGCUAUUAUGCAUUGCCACCAUGGGCCAAAGCGUAAUUUAUGGUUUGCCAGUCAUGGGUCGAAGCAUGACCAUGAUUAGUCCAAAUGGAAAGAUGAUGAUUGAUCUGAAAAAUGUUAAUGAAACAUAAACGAUUAGGCAUAUAAACAUAC